UGGCGGACGGGUGAGUAAUGUCUGGGAAACUGCCCGAUGGAGGGGGAUAACUACUGGAAACGGUAGCUAAUACCGCAUAACGUCGCAAGACCAAAGAGGGGGACCUUCGGGCCUCUUGCCAUCGGAUGUGCCCAGAUGGGAUUAGCUUGUAGGUAAGGUAACGGCUUACCUAGGCGACGAUCCCUAGCUGGUCUGAGAGGAUGACCAGCCACACUGGAACUGAGACACGGUCCAG
rnacentral:rRNA from 1 species